AUUGAACGCUGGCGGCAGGCCUAACACAUGCAAGUCGAGCGAGCGGCGGACGGGUGUGUAAUGUCUGGGAAACUGCCUGCUGGAGGGGGAUAACUACUGGAAACGGAAGCUAAUACCGCAUACCAUAAGAUGUGCCCAGAUGGGAUUAGCUAGUCGGUGGGGUAACGGCUCACCUAGGCGACGAUCCCUAGCUGGUCUGAGAGGAUGACCCGCCAAACUGGAACUGAGACACGGUCAAGAUGCCUACGGGAGGCAGCAUUGGGGAAUAUUGCACAAUGGGCGAAAGCCUAAUGCAGCCAUGCCGCGUGUGUGAAGAAGGCCUUCGGGUUGUAAAGCACUUUCAGCAGGGAAGCGUUACCCGCAGAAGAAGCACCGGCUAACUCCGUGCCAGCAGCCGCGGUAAUAC
rnacentral:rRNA from 1 species